CAUUUUUUUCAAUUUUGAGUUUUUUGCAUUUUUGGACAUCUAUGACUUAUAUCUUGAACCUCAAAAAGUUUCAGAUCACAAAAAUGUCUAAUUACGUUGCUAUGACGACAUGACAUUCAAGAAAAUACCGGGUAAAAGGAUUUCUUGUUUUUACGAAGUGACGGAUAAGCAGCCGUCAAUACGUGAAAACAAACGAAUACGCUUUGCGCUCAGAAGUUUUUUCACGAAGUGACGGAAGGCAAAUAUUUACAGUUUGGAACAGCCGAAGACCAUGAAAUGAUGCAGUAUAUACAAUAAGCGAUGUUUCAGAGAACAAACGAGAGAAGUCCUGGAACUGGUACACUUGCUAUUUAACAAUGCUGAUGGUCAGAUACAAUUCCAGGUUGGAUCCAGGGGCCGACACGCUUGUCAGAUGGGUCAUUGAUAAUUCCCUGAACACCGCAGAUGUGAUCUGAUUUGGUGACAUGACAGUUGAAUCGGUAGUGACUGGAUUUUAAUAGUGUACCCUGGUUUUGAACUGUUGAAGUAACCAAACUAGAAACAUCUUCUGAGAACUCUAGACUGCAAUUCUGAUGAUGAAACUCUGUCUACACUUGUGAAAAAUGUGAAGGAGUUGGCUCUGCCCCAUGGCCUUUCCGGGAUCAGGGCUCUCAUAUAACUUUUUCUUUAUUUUCUAGCUGGGUAACUGAUACCAAUAUUUAUUUUCUUGUGAUUUUGACUACAACAUAAGUUUAGUUUUAAUUUUGAUAGGACUUUCAAAUCUGGUUUCAGCUUUAGAGCAGUGUAUUAUAUAAUGAAACUGUACUGCUUCAACUAGUCUGUGCUUUUAUAGUGAUAUAAUUAUGAAGUCCUUUAAAUAUAUUUUAUAUAUACAGUCAAAUAUAAAGUUCAGAAUAGUCACUUAUCUGCUAUACUGCUAUACUUACAUGUGUAAAUUGCUUAUACAAAUCGUCCACAUAUGGAUGCAAAAGAAUUACCCUUUUUUCAUUUGUUUGGCAUGUUUUCAUUUUUCUUGGUGCUAUCUUAAACAGAAAUACUGCAUAUUUCUACAUUAAAAAAAACCGGAAUGUUACUAGCUGUAUUGUGCUGAAAUGUACUCUCUAAUAAUAACAAUCUUACAAAUUAGACUGACAUGUAUUGUGAAAUUCGAUAGUUGCAUGAUAUAUUACUAGUAAGGAUGUAAGGGUGAAAAUCAGCUAGGUUUUUGUGAAUUCAUUUUCAAAGGCUAAAUGUGUUUAUACAGACACCCCACCCUUCCAAGAGGUAAUGUUUUAUCGGUUUAUCAGGGGUGUGAGAAUUCUUACGCUGAUUUUAGUUAUUUUUGCUUUUUAUUUUAAGCUUGAUAUCCCCCCUUUCUGUACAAUAGUGUGAGAACUCAUUCAAUUUAAUCCCCCAACUCUCUACAAAAUUGUCAGGUCUUUAUUUGUCAUCACUCACACACCUGGUUCAUGCAGUUCUAUAGUCGAUGUAUCAUCAUUUUAUUCCAGAAUAUCCAACUGUUAAAUUUUGUUAUUGAAUGUUAUUCAAGAAAGAAAUAAUGCAUGAUACGUUUUAGCUUGAGGUUAAAGAUACACUACAGCACAUGUUUUUCUGUCUAUUUGUAGUAAGAAUUUUACUCUUUUUUACCCACUAGUUCAAAGACGUUAUUUGCUAAAAUUAUGAAGACAAUUUUUGUAAAGAUUUCAGAUUUGGAAGGAACUAAUGUGUAUUUUGAUAUAUCUUCCUGUUUUGGACUCUGACAAUUUGCAAUUAAAAAAAACCAAGUGUUUAAUUUGGAAAUGUAUUGAUGAGUGUAUUUAGCCAAUAACUUGAGAAUGAUGGAAAUUUUAUUGCUUUUGUCGCUGUCGUUUGUGAUUUUUAUUAUAAAUUUGUUAAAAAUUAUCCUGUUUGAUAUGACGUUAAA
rnacentral:lncRNA from 1 species